UGAUCAUAUUCUGCUCCCCGUAAACCAAGACCUCUAGGGAGGAUAAAUUACGUCUUUCAUAUCCAGUAGUGAGGGAUUACUGGAAAUAAAUAUCGCA
ncrna:unclassified sequences PhotoRC-II RNA